rnacentral:rRNA from 1 species
AACUAACAAGGAUUCCCCUAGUAACGGCGAGCGAAGCGGGAAGAGCUCAAAUUUGAAAGCUGGCACCUCCGGUGUCCGCGUUGUAAUCUCGAGACGUGUUUUCCGUGCGGCUCUAUGGACAAGUCCCUUGGAACAGGGCAUCGUAGAGGGUGAAAAUCCCGUACUUGCCAUGGAUGUACCGUGCUUUGUGAUACACGCUCUAAGAGUCGAGUUGUUUGGGAUUGCAGCUCAAAAUGGGUGGUAGACUCCAUCUAAAGCUAAAUAUCGGGGAGAGACCGAUAGCGAACAAGUACCGUGAGGGAAAGAUGAAAAGCACUUUGGAAAGAGAGUUAAAAGUACGUGAAAUUGUCGAAAGGGAAGCGCUUGAAGUCAGCCAUGCUGCGCGGACUCAGCCCGGCUGAUGCCUGGUGUAUUUCCCAGCAGCAAGUCAGCAUGGAUUUGGAUCGCCGGAGAAGGGUGGGAGGAAUGUGGCACCCUCGGGUGUGUUAAGCCUCCUACUGGAUACGGCG